rnacentral:rRNA from 1 species
CGUCCCUGCUCCUUGCACACACCGCCCGUCGUUCCAUCCGAGCGACUUUUUGGGUGAGGCGCCGUCUUUCAUGGCGGCGUCGAAUCUAAGUUUCGUAAGGAGGGAAA